rnacentral:rRNA from 1 species
GACGAACGCUGGCGGCGUGCUUAACACAUGCAAGUCGAGCGGUAAGGCCCUUUCGGGGGUACACGAGCGGCGAACGGGUGAGUAACACGUGGGUGACCUGCCCUCAGCUCUGGGAUAAGCCUGGGAAACUGGGUCUAAUACUGGAUAUGACUCCACGGUGCAUGUCGUGGGGUGGAAAGCCUUGUGCGGCUGAGGAUGGGCCCGCGGCCUAUCAGCUUGUUGGUGGGGUGAUGGCCUACCAAGGCGACGACGGGUAGCCGGCCUGAGAGGGCGACCGGCCACACUGGGACUGAGACACGGCCCAGACUCCUACGGGAGGCAGCAGUGGGGAAUCUUGCGCAAUGGGCGAAAGCCUGACGCAGCGACGCCGCGUGGGGAUGAAGGCCCUCGGG